rnacentral:rRNA from 1 species
GGUUAAGCGACUAAGCGUACACGGUGGAUGCCCUGGCAGUCAGAGGCGAUGAAGGACGUGCUAAUCUGCGAAAAGCGCCGGCGAGGUGAUAUGAACCUUUGACCCGGCGAUGUCCGAAUGGGGAAACCCAGUGCAAUCCGUUGCACUAUCGUUAACUGAAUACAUAGGUUAACGAGGCGAACCGGGG